GGGCCCGAGGGGGGGGAGGGGAGGGGCUACCGGGGGGUGGAGGAGGAGCUGCGGCGGGUGGCAGCCGCCUGCCCACGCGGCGUCGCGCGGCUCUACAGCAUUGGGCAGUCGGCACAGGGCAGAGAACUCUGGACACUUGACGUGGGCGGAGCCUCCCCCUCCCUGUCCCCGCCGCCUCGUCUCCUGCUGUUGGGGGCGGUGCGAGGCGACGCGGCGCCACCUCCGAGCUGCUGCUGGAGCUCGCCGGCUUCCUGUGCCGUCGCUACGGCAACGACGACGGCCUCACGGCGCUGGUGAACUCCACACGUCUCACCGUGCUCCCCGUGGUGAACCCCGUGUCUCCCCGUGUCUCCC